rnacentral:rRNA from 1 species
UACGGAGGGUGCAAGCGUUAAUCGGAAUUACUGGGCGUAAAGCGCGCGUAGGUGGUCGUUCACGCCGGGUGUGAAAGCCCUGGGCUCAACCUGGGAAUGGCAUCCGGAACGGGGCGACUAGAGUGCAGGAGAGGAAGGUAGAAUUCCCGGUGUAGCGGUGAAAUGCGUAGAGAUCGGGAGGAAUACCGGUGGCGAAGGCGGCCUUCUGGCCUGACACUGACACUGAGGUGCGAAAGCGUGGGUAGCAAACAGG